rnacentral:rRNA from 1 species
UGGGGAAUAUUGCACAAUGGGCGAAAGCCUGAUGCAGCAACGCCGCGUGAGUGAUGAAGGUCUUCGGAUUGUAAAGCUCUGUCUUUUGGGACGAUAAUGACGGUACCAAAGGAGGAAGCCACGGCUAACUACGUGCCAGCAGCCGCGGUAAUACGUAGGUGGCGAGCGUUGUCCGGAUUUACUGGGCGUAAAGGGUGCGUAGGCGGAUGUUUAAGUGAGAUGUGAAAUACCCGGGCUUAACUUGGGUGCUGCAUUUCAAACUGGAUAUCUAGAGUGCAGGAGAGGAGAAUGGAAUUCCUAGUGUAGCGGUGAAAUGCGUAGAGAUUAGGAAGAACACCAGUGGCGAAGGCGAUUCUCUGGACUGUAACUGACGCUGAGGCACGAAAGCGUGGGUAGCAAACAGGAUUAGAUACCCUGGUAGUCCACGCCGUAAACGAUGAGUACUAGGUGUAGGAGGUAUCGACCCCUUCUGUGCCGCAGUAAACACAUUAAGUACUCCGCCAUGGGAAGUACGAUCGCAAGAUUAAAAC